GACAGAGGUGGCAAGCGUUGUUCGGAUUCAUUGGGUGUAAAGGGUCCGUAGGUGGCCCGUUAAGUCCGGCGUGAAAUCCCAGAGCUCAACUCUGGAACUGCGUCGGAAACUAUCGGGCUUGAGUACCGGAGAGGUGAAGGGAAUUCCAGGUGUAAGGGUGAAAUCUGUAGAUAUCUGGAGGAACACCAGUGGCGAAGGCGCUUCACUGGCCGGUUACUGACACUGAGGGACGAAAGCAAGGGGAGCAAACAGG
rnacentral:rRNA from 1 species